GAUGAACGCUGGCGGCGUGCCUAAUACAUGCAAGUCGAGCGAGGAAACUCCUUCGGGAGUUUUCUAGCGGCGGACGGGUGAGUAACACGUGGGCAACCUGCCUCGAAGAGGGGGAUAGCCUCCCGAAAGGGAGAUUAAUACCGCAUAACAUCAGUUUAUCGCAUGAUUAACUGAUUAAAGGAGAAAUCCGCUUCGAGAUGGGCCCGCGGCGCAUUAGCUAGUUGGUGAGGUAACGGCUCACCAAGGCGACGAUGCGUAGCCGACCUGAGAGGGUGAUCGGCCACAUUGGGACUGAGACACGGCCCAGACUCCUACGGGAGGCAGCAGUGGGGAAUAUUGCACAAUGGGGGAAACCCUGAUGCAGCAACGCCGCGUGAGUGAUGAAGGCCUUCGGGUUGUAAAGCUCUGUCUUCAGGGACGAUAAUGACGGUACCUGAGGAGGAAGCCACGGCUAACUACGUGCCAGCCGCCGCGGUAAUAC
rnacentral:rRNA from 1 species